rnacentral:rRNA from 1 species
UACGUAGGGUGCAAGCGUUGUCCGGAAUUAUUGGGCGUGAAAUGAGGCUCGUAGGCGGUUUGUCGCGUCUGCUGUGAAAAUCCCGAGGCUCAACCUCGGGUCUGCAGUGGGUACGGGCAGACUAGAGUGGUGGUAGGGGAGAUUGGAAUUCCUGGUGUAGCGGUGGAAUGCGCAGGAUAAUCAGGAGGAACACCGAUGCGAAGGCAGCUCGCUGGGACGGUACUGACGCUGAGGCGCGAAAGC